GACGAACGCUGGCGGCGUGCUUAACACAUGCAAGUCGAACGGAAAGGCCCUGCUUUUGUGGGGUGCUCGAGUGGCGAACGGGUGAGUAACACGUGAGUAACCUGCCCUUGACUUUGGGAUAACUUCAGGAAACUGGGGCUAAUACCGGAUAGGAGCUCCUGCUGCAUGGUGGGGGUUGGAAAGUUUCGGCGGUUGGGUAUGGACUCGCGGCUUAUCAGCUUGUUUGUGGGGUAGUGGCUUACCAAGGCUUUGACGGGUAGCCGGCCUGAGAGGGUGACCGGCAACAUUGGGACUGAGAUACGGCACAGACUCCUACGGGAGGCAGCAGUGGGGAAUAUUGCACAAUGGGCGGAAGCCUGAUGCAGCAACGCAGCGUGCGGGAUGACGGCCUUCGGGUUGUAAACCGCUUUCGCCUGUGACGAAGCGUGAGUGACGGUAAUGGGUAAAGAAGCACCGGCUAACUACGUG
rnacentral:rRNA from 1 species